rnacentral:rRNA from 1 species
UACGGAGGGUGCAGACGUUGCUCGGAAUCACUGGGCGUAAAGCGCACGUAGGCGGCCUAGUAAGUUGGAUGUGAAAGCCCUGGGCCCAACCCAGGAAGUGCAUCCAAAACUGCAUGGCUUGAGUGCCGGAGGGGUUCAGAGAAUUCCCGGUGUAGAGGUGAAAUUCGUAGAGAUCGGGAGGAAUACCAGUGGCGAAGGCGCUGAACUGGACGGUAACUGACGAUGAGGUGCGAAAGAGUGGGUAGCAAACAGG